AUGUCUAGUUUGAAUUUGUUGUUCUGUUCGUGGAAUGUAAGAGGUUUAGGUGAUGAUGGAAAAUGUACUGAAGUGUUGUCUGAAUUACUGUCUCUCAAACCAAACCUCCUUCUCCUUCAAGGAGCCAAAUUGGCAGCCCCCUCUCCGCAAAAAAUCAGAUCCUUUCUCCCCUCUUCCCUCGAUUUUGUUAGCUCCCUCCCCGCACGGGGCACGGCUGGGGGGUUGCUAACGGCUGUCUCCACCUCUUCCCUCUCGGUCCAAACAUACGUCAACCACUCGUACUGUGCUUCUGUUACGCUUCAAUCUAUCGCGUGUCAAACCCCCAUUGUAGUCACAAACGUUUACGCUCCCACUACCCGAGCUCUCAAAAGUGACUUCCUUGGCGAACUUAAAAGUAUUGCCCCCCCUGAUAACACCCCGUGGUUAGUCCUUGGCGAUUUCAAUCUCAUUCGCUUCCCUCACGAGAAAAACAACUCUAAUUUUCAUCAGCUAGAGGCUAAUCUCUUUAAUGAUACGUUGGACCAACUUGCGCUACUAGAACUCCCCCUCCUGGACAGGAAAUUCACUUGGUCAAAUAAUCAAGACUCGCCUGUCCUGGAACGCCUAGAUCGUGCCUUCUUCAACCUUGCUUGGAACAAUUCUUUCCCAAACUCCUCGCUCACCUCCUUGCCACGCUUUACUUCUGACCAUGUUCCACUAGUCGUCUCCAUCUCUACCUCCAUCCCCCGCUCCCGCCCUUUUCGGUUUGAACGGUCCUGGGCCCUUCACCAGGCCUGCCGACGCAUAAUCGCUCAGGCAGCAGCCCAACACAGUCACUCCAGCCCACCGGACUCUUCCCACCUGGCCCAAACUCUUCAAACCCGCCAUUCGCGCCUAAAGCAAUGGGCUAAAACUCUCAGACCACCAUCCAUCAGGGAGGAACGGUGCAAGACGGUGCUUAGGCUAAUCGAUGCCAAGGAAGAAUCACGUUCCCUCUCUGCUGCUGAGUCAUCCCUGCAAAUCGUUCUCAAAAGUACCCUUCAUCAAGCCAUCCGGGAUCGCAUGAUAGCAAUCAGGCAGCGGGCCAAAGUCAAACGCGCCAUCUAG
rnacentral:rRNA from 1 species